CCGAGUGAAGCGGGAUGAGCUCAAGCUUAAAAUCUCUGUGCAAGUUUUGCAUGGCGAAUUGUAGUCUAUGGAGGCGCUGUCAGUGCGACUAUGUGGGUUAAGUUCCUUGGAAGAGGACAGCAUCGAGGGUGAUACUCCCGUAUGUACCUGUGUAGUUGCGCGUACGACACGUUUUCUUUGAGUCGUGUUGUUUGGGAAUGCAGCACAAAGUAGGUGGUAAAUUCCAUCUAAAGCUAAAUAUUGGUGCGAGACCGAUAGCGAACAAGUACCGUGAGGGAAAGAUGAAAAGAACUUUGAAAAGAGAGUUAAAGAGUACCUGAAACUGCUGAAAGGGAACCGAAUCGUUUCCAGUGUCUAUAAUCUAUGGCAUAUUUCAUUGGCGUGUGGAUGUGUGCAGCGUUUUGGAAGUAGUUUUCUGCUCCUGUCGUUGUUUUGCGUUCGCCUGCUGGUGCCCUGUGCUGUAGUGGGACGUCAGAGUCAAUUCGUAUGCUGCGGGAAAUGGUUACUGGGGAGGUAGGUCACUUCGGUGGCUGUUAUAUCCUGGUAACUAGUCGUCGUGGUUGGGAUUGAGGUGCCUACAAUGUGCUUUCGAGUCUGUGGGUUUCUCGUUUGUCCAUUUGCCUUGAUAGCUUGCUAUGUUGGUGAAUGUGUUGAGCGAUUGAGAUCUGUAGUAACUUGUUGCCGUUCGGGACUUUGACGAAAUGGAGCGAUCCGACCCGUCUUGAAACACGGA
rnacentral:rRNA from 1 species